GAAAAUCCGUAUGUUCCAAAAAUGAAUAUGCAUGUGAAGAUGGCGGUUGCAUACAUAUAAGUCAAAUGUGUGACUUUAUAGUAGACUGUAUGGAUGGAUCAGAUGAAAACUGCGAUUACCCACUGUGCUUACCGACGGAAUACCGCUGUAGAAAUCAACAAUGCAUUCCGGAGAAAGACAGAUGCAAUGCAUACAAACACUGCUUAGACGGUUCAGAUGAAGAAAACUGUGAUAUCUGUAAAGACAACUCUUUCCACUGUGACCUUACCAGAUGUAUUCCAAGGCGCCUGGUUUGUGACAAAUACAUUGAUUGUAAAGAUGAAAUUGAUGAAACAUUAUGUGACCAACCACUUCAUUAUUCUUGUGAGGAAUGGUGGAAUGCG